AUAAAAAGGCGAGACGGACGAUGCUCUGCCUUUUCGCCCCGUGGAAACGAUGCCUAAGUGCACUGGGAUCUUCUGGAAGUUGUACCUGCUGGAUCCUGGCAUCCAUUCAUGACAUUAACCAGUACACCCAAAAUGAGCAAGACUGCAUUUAUCCAUCCUGAAUGAGGAAGGUGGUGAAAACCAGGAAUGCUGAAACUGAAUGCACUGUGAUGAAGGAGCAACAUUUGUUGAAGACAGCUGGGGGAUAUCAAGAACAGCUGAGUGAUUUUGAGUUGACAAGUUCAUGGGGAUCAUUUUGGGAAAAGUUGGAUGUGAAAUGAUAGAGUGAGGACUGUAUUUUAUCCAUCCCGAAUGAGGUAGAGGCUGUAAACCAGGAAUGCUGAAAUUAAAUGCACUGUGGUGAAGGUAGUGCUUCACCUGCUGUGCUGUACUUCACAUGAGUGCUGUUUGAGUUUUAACUUGGUUUUGUACAUAGUUAUCACUAAACUUUGUAUGUUUUGCAUAUUUAAAUAAAACUAAAAUGCAACAGA